CUUCAGCGACCCGAGCCAGACCGGGUCGUCCUUGGUGCGCGCCCGGCCGUAGGUGGCCAGCAGCGCGUUCGCCUC
rnacentral:antisense_RNA from 1 species